UGGGAUAAGAGCUCUCCUCUCAUUUUGGUGAAGAGGCUCUUUCAGCUUACCUCUGCUUAUUUUCAGCAGGUGCUUUUUGGGCAUAUGAAGCAACAGAGGCUUUGAAGAUGCUGUGAAGAAAACAGUAUUGGACACAGGGAGAGGAGUGCAACUUCCAGAAAUUCUAGGCUGUGUCAAGUGCAACCCUUUUAUCAGCAGAUUCAUCAUGUCACAAAAGGGAGCUGCCCUGUGUCAAAGUUCAUGUUUGAGAUUGAGGCUUCAGAUGAACUGAGGAUUGUGACUAGGAGAGGGAAGGUGCCGCUCAUAAUAACAGCCACAACCUUGGACUCGGGACGAAGCCGGAGACUCGAGGACCCAGACAAGCUCAGGAGAGGGCAAGUAGUUGCCUUGCUGGGAUUUGGCCCACAUAACACAAAACUCAUAUGUUGUUUUUGGUUUACUUUAUUGUAACUGACUGAGAGGUUAACAGGUGAUCAUGGCAGACCUGCUCUGAGGCAGACUCAUUUCAGGUCCAACAUGGAUUCACAUCAUCGGUCAUCCAAAAGAUAAGUCGGGGGCCAAGGCCUGGAGAUGGGAUGAUAGGAGAGUAGUGGGUUGGCAAUUCCUGGGACAGACCUAAAAGUUUGCAGAGGGUAAAGGGAUGUCCUCUAAGGGGCCUCUUAAGACAGCUCGAGGGAGAUGCUCUGCUUCUGAAUGCAGCUCUAGGGUGUGCAGUGCAGAACAGUUCCGGUCUAUGUUGUGUUGUCCAGUGUAUACUGUGUUACCUAGUGUGUCUCUGGGGCCACUUGGAUCAGAUAUCUCUGCCUUUUCCCCUCGAGGCCCUUACCACAAGCAUCAGCCAUCAUCUCUAGGUUCUCGAAGGCUCGCGCUUCUCGGCGGUAUGCCAAUGUCAUUUGUUCUUUUACCGGCGGGCUCGGCUGCGUCCAAGUCACAUCUCGGAAGCAUCGAGUCGGACGCCUUUGAGGCCUUGUACCCGGCUGCAUCACCACCUAUCCUAUCCAGCCAUGAGUUGUGAUGUCCUGGGGCUUACAAGAUUGUAUGCUAUGGAGAACAUUCUAAACAGAGCGUUGUCUCACAGCCGUCUUGAUCAUUGUGAUCAACAGGUCUUAUAACAGGUCACUCUGUUCUAGUCUUUUCUUGUGCUCCUUAGAGGAGUCUCCUCCGUUCACUGUCGCCUUGGCAUCCGUCAUCUCUUUUGACAUCCUCUUGGUCCUUGCCAUUAUAAAUCUUGCCAGGAACUUUUUUCUCAUCCUUGUCACACCGUGUGUAGCAUAAUGUGUGGUGUUUAGCGUCCCCUUGUUUGUCAUGUCCUGUGUCACUGGUGUCUGCACCUAUUUGUCCUGGAACUGCUCUGCCCUGCUGCAUAGUCUGGUGUGAUAGGACGUAUCUGUGGGACUUGAAAUUUGUAGUGUGGGGUGUAGUUGGAUUCUAGAUGGUAUUCCUAGGUUGACCCAAGAUAUCUGCAUCUGUGAAGUUGUCCUGCAGCCCUUUGACUUUUGUCCUGACUUUCUUUCAGAGGCAGACGGAUAAAAUCCAUGGCAGAGAGCGCCAUCCCAGGAAGUAAUGCUCAAUAUCAUCAGACUCAGCAUCCAUUCUCAUUUGUGUGCUUUGGGCAGUCCACUUGGAGGGUGCAAAGCCCCCAUCACACACUGGCUGAUGGACUGUGAUUGCGGCUCUUGUGAGCCCAGUGGAAGUAUUGCCGGACUCUGAUGAAGCCUCUGCCUUUUCUAUUUAAAG